rnacentral:ncRNA from 1 species
UAACUGAUUAAAGCAAAGCACAUAACGGCUAUUUGGCAAAGGAAGGGAUGCCUUUGUGCAAGACUUAAAAAAAACUAAUUAGUUUUUACAUCAUACAUGGGGAAAACUAUGCUUACUCCUUGAAUAAAUGUGUCAAUUCUAGGGAUAAUAUAUGCGGCAGAGCCCCGAUUUUUAGGCGAGAGUAAUUUUAUUAGACAAAAACCCAAUGGACUUCAUGUCCGUGCUAUGUAAUUAUUCUGUAGAACUUUGGGCUGAUAGCAUUGCUCGUUCUGGGGAAGUAUCUUUCAAUUGGUUCUAGGUUACGCGGCUACUUUUGUCCUAACUGAUGACGAGAAAUAAAGGCUCGAUAUUGAAAAGAGAACCAAUGAUGAGGUAGUGAAGAAAAAUAACAACACGGGACUCUUUUGAGACUCCGUAACUAGAACGAGUACGCUCUGAAUCCUUUAAUGAGGAUCAACUGAAGGGAAAGUCUAGUGCCAGCAGCCGCGGUAAUUCCAGCUUCAAUAGUGUAUAUUAAAGUUGUUGUGGUUAAAAAGCUCUUAGUUGGAUUUUAAUUUCAGACGGCUGUUCCGUCCACCUGUAAUUACUGCCUGUUCUGUCUACAAUUACUGCAUGUUCUAUCAUUUCUACCUGUCCGCCUACCUGUGAUUACAGCCAGUCGGUUUCCUUUGAUGAUUUUCACCGGUUGUCUUGAGCGACCGAAAAAGCACUCACGCAAGCAAUCCUUUCGCCAAGAUUUGAAUCCGGUCGAACUAAUAGUGUUCAGUCGAUUAAGC